rnacentral:rRNA from 1 species
GACGAACGCUGGCGGCGUGCCUAACACAUGCAAGUCGAACGGGGUAAUUCCUUCGGGGAUUACUUAGUGGCGAACGGGUGAGUAACGCGUGAGAAACCUGCCUUUCAGUGGGGGACAACAGUUGGGAACGACUGCUAAUACCGCAUAAUGUUAUUUGGGGGCAUCCCCGAAUAACCAAAGAUUUAUUGUUGAAAGAUGGUCUCACGUCUGAUUAGCUAGUGGGUGAGGUAACGGCUCACCAAGGCGACGAUCAGUAGCCGGUCUGAGAGGAUGAACGGCCACAUUGGGACUGAGACACGGCCCAA